rnacentral:rRNA from 1 species
AUUGAACGCUGGCGGCAGGCCUAACACAUGCAAGUCGAACGAGCGGCGGACGGGUGAGUAAUGUCUGGGUAACUGCCCGAUGGAGGGGGAUAACUACUGGAAACGGUAUCUAAUACCGCAUACCAUCGGAUGUGCCCAGAUGGGAUUAGCUAGUAGGUGGGGUAACGGCUCACCUAGGCGACGAUCCCUAGCUGGUCUGAGAGGAUGAUCAGCCACACUUGGACUGAGACACGGUCCAGACUCCUACGGGAGGCAGCAGUGGGGAAUAUUGCACGAUGGGCGCAAGCCUGAUGCAGCCAUGCCGCGUGUAUGAAGAAGGCCUUAGGGUUGUAAAGUACUUUCAGCGGGGAGGCGUUACCCGCAGAAGAAGCACCGGCUAACUCCGUGCCAGCAGCCGCGGUAAUUC